rnacentral:lncRNA from 1 species
UGAGUUUGAUGAUGAUGGUGGUGGUGGGUGGUGGUGGAUGAAGAAAAAGUGAGGCGGUGCGGUUUUAAAGAAAGAGGCAAGGAGAAUCAAGGAUGAAUUCUGCCGUGUGUGUUUUUCUCUCGGAGGUUCCCAUUUAAUCUUUGCUUUUCUUUUCUUUUUCUUUUUUUUUAUUUGGGGAAUAAAUUCGAACGAACCUAGUCCUAUUUGUCGAAAUUCUGGUAUAGGCUUAUAAAAUGCUUUAAUUCCAAUAAACUUCUUCUUUGGGAGGAAAAUCGGUUCCAGUUUUCCAAAAAUAUAUGAAAACCACUUUUGGGCAGAAGUUAGGUAUUGACAAGUUUUAACAAUUAAAUGAUUAUUCCUAAGCUAUUCAUACUUAUUUUGCGGUAACUCGAGAUUUCUUGCUCUAAUUAGGGCAUGUUUGAUAACGAUUCUGAUUCCGGAAAUAAUUUUUGAUCAGAAAUGGUUUUUUUUUUUUAAUUUCUGUUCCUAAGAACAAUUUCUAAAUACAAGAACGUGCUUGGUAAUUGCACAAAAUUUCCAUUCUUAGGAAAGAAAUGCGUUUGGUGGAAUUGUAUAAUUUUGUUGUUUCUUUUCAUUUUUUAAUAUUUUUAUUAUAUUUUUCCUUUUUUUUCUUCUUCUUUUUUUUUUUUUUUACAAUUCCUCCUUUGUGGCCGGUUGUCAGUGGCCGGCAACUAGCUAGGCAAGGUCCGGCGAGCUCGCCGAAGCCUUGCCAAACCAAGGCGAGGGCCGACGAGCUUGCCGGAGGCUCGCUUGGCCACUGUGAGGCUCGAUCUCACCUUGGCUGGCCGAGCUCAAGCUUGCCCAAAUCUUGUGAGGCUGAGCAUCGCCAUGGCUUGGUGUCGUUGGGGGCUAGCGAUGCUCCAGUGAGAUCGCUGGCCCUCAUUGGCCGGUUGCUGGCCAUGGCCAAGGUUGGCAACCGGCCAAAAGGAAGAAGAAGGAAAUGAAAGAGAAGAAGAGAAAAAAAAAAAUAUUCCCAAGAGCAAGAAGCUAUUUUUUUCUACUUCUUGUUUCUGUUCCAAAUCUAUUCUCGGGAACAAAAAUUUUACCAAACACGUUUCUAUUUUUUUCUGUUCCCUAGAACAAAAGAACAAAAAUAGUUGUUAUGGGGGAAUAGAAACAAUUUUUACCAAACAGGUCCUAAGUUGCUAGAAGAAAGAACCCACCUCGCUAAUAGUAGGCUGACUGACAGUUGACCUACAAAAGCAAGCCCAAAACCCACGAGAUGGCGAGAGAAGGAGAUGAGACGGUUUUGGCGAGACCAAGACAGAGAAGAGACACAACGGCAUCCACGGGAUAGAAAAAAGAGAAAAUUUGAGAGUGCCAUUGGAGAAAGACGAAUGACUAGAGAGACAAAGAGAGAGGGGCCAAAUCUGAGAGUGAGAACUAGAAAAGAAAGCAGAGCUUAAAUAGACAAGAUUUAGGAUUGGUUUUGACCCGGCUCAAAACCAGUUUUCCCCGAGAAUUACCUUUGCAAGGCCGGCUCAUGGGUGUUACAACCAGUUCAUAUUAUGAAACCAAGAAGUGAACCGAUGAAGGCCGAUUCAAAGAAGUUCUAUUUGGAACUAAACUGGCCCCCAUGUGAACGGCCUCAAAAUUAGUCGUGUUCCAUUCAUUUCCCAUAUUGAAUAGGUCCAGUUACUCACCUUUUAUAAAAUGUCAUAAAUGAAGUCUAACGGUAAACAUUGUAAAAUUAAUCAAUUGAUUAGCAGAAUGGGAAGGACCAUCACAAAGCAUAGAGUUCUUUUGAUCUAAAUAAAGUAGAUAUCCCCAUUCCAAGCAAAGCUCUAAUAGGAUUUCGAAAAAAAUAUUUAAAAAUAAGAGAUUUAACAUUUUAAGAUAAAAAGCCUUGUCACCUUUGAAGAUCAUGAGGUCAUUACCUCAAACCUUACCCCACAUCAACUAGUGUUUACGUGUUGAAUCGAAAAAUCAAAAUCGCGGUUAUUUAGUGGAAAAUUUUCAAGCCUUGGUAUGUUCAACAGUUUAUAGUGGAGUCAGAAAGAAAAUGUCCAUCACACAAUGCUGUAUGUCUCUUCUCAGCCUACUCAAAUCCAAUCUAUUUGGACCCCUUAGAGGUUCUAAUUGAGGAGCAGGCAGAAUCAUUCUCCUUGAACAAUGUCAGAAAAAAUGCUCUCAUCUGAUGUGGAUGCCUAACUAACCUUCUUAAUGGUGCAAAUUUUUUAUAUAAUUUGGCCAGGGCAGUUUGUGUUUGAAAUUCGAAGAGAGAAAAAGAAAAAAGAGAGGCGCUUUAAGGUUCUUUUGUGAAGAUGAUCCGUAUGAUUUUACUUGUUCAACUUUUUAUUGUUAGUUUAUGUCACUCACAUCCCGGCUGAAUCGUGGUCCCAACUCCUAACUUCAGCUUUUACAAAAUCCCCCGGAUGUGUAAAAGAGUACAUCCAAUUUAAUAAGUCAGCAAGUUGACAGUGACAAUAUUUUUGUAGAAAAAUUAUAUUAGAUUAAAUUAGAUGAUUAAUUUUUUUUCCAACUUUAUUGUAAAUUUAUAUGGACAAUUAAUGGAAUGGGAAGUGGGAGGGAAUUGAGUUUUGUGAUGACGUGGCCCAUCCAUUAAGUUCCAUUCUUCUUAACUUUCUAUUGUUUAUGUGUGUGGUUUCACCAACGAGACGUUACAAAAUAGAACGAAAAAAGGUAAUCACGAUGGCUCGAAUCAGCUAAAUUGUAUGUAAAUUACUUAUCAAUACUUACGUAUUAUAAAAGAUUCAUAUGUUUCAAGUCAAAAUAUGUAAAAAUGUGUCGGAGACAAGACUAGAAUAAAUAAAAUGUAAAACUCUAUCCAGACAAACUUUCAGGUAUUUUGUUGACAUAUAUGCAAGCGAAGAGCUUGAAAUCCGCUAGAGAUGGUGAAACAUAUCAUUGUCCAUCGAUUUUGGUGUGUUUUCUUCCCCCUUUUCCCCCUUUCCUUACUUUUCAGUUUUCCCUUUCCUGAAGGCGACCAGAAAACACAAAUUUUCCACACUUGCCCUUUCAUAUAAGCUGGACUUAAUCAUAAACUAAAGCAUGCAAAUAUAUAAUGGAGAAGCAAAUAAGGAAUUGAAAAAAAUUGAAGUCAAGAUCUCCUACUUUAAUAUCAUAUAAAAUUUAGUCUCACUAUUGUCAAAACUAAGCUUUCAAAAGUAGAUAUAGUGACGACCAUUUGAAAUUAAGUCCAAAUUUAUGAGUAUUGUCAUGAGCUUCUCUUGUUCAACAUGAGACUAAAGAUUAUGCAAAACAUUUGGCAAGAUGCUUGACCUCAAUUAGCUGUUGGAUCUCAUAACUUCCCUUCCACGUUAGUUGCAUGUCUAACAUUUCUAUGGGUAUCAAUUUAAUUAUAUGUCAUUCCAUUUCUUUCUAACCCUUCCUUGCUCCACUAGGAUUUCGGAAGGAAUUAUGUAACAUAUAAGUACAUAUGUGCCUAAUGAUUCUUCAUAAGAUUAGUAACUUUCUACAAGAAAUUCAACUUUAAUCCAUGACUACUUACUAACUUGAUUACAUUCGUAGUGUUUUGUAGAAAAGAUAACUUUUCUAUGCUGAUUCUUAUCUAUCAACAUAUAAUAAUAAAAAGAAAAGAUAAAUUUUGAACAUAACUGAUGAUAUCUGCUUAACUUUUCUAUGCUGAUUCUUAUCUAUAUUUUCAAAUUUAAGUUUAAGAAAAAAGAGCAAAAAUAAAUAACUGAUAAAAAAAAAUUGCAGGAAUGAGGCGAUGAUACUCUUUGUGACUUGCGGAGUUUCACUUCGAAUUUUUAUUUUAAUUCUUUUAAACAAAGAUUCGAUCUAAAAUUAAAAAUAUGCAAGAUAUACUUUUCCUAGAUUUUCCAAUUUAUAACAUUUGAUUUAUGAGAGGAAACAUGCAAAUAUGACAAUUAAUAAUAAUGUACUCUAAAUGGCCUAGAUGUGCAUGAUAAUGCUUGUCCAUGAAAAUUCUGAGUUUCUAAUAUAAUUGUCCUGAUACUAAUAUAAUGCAAUUCUAUUCAAUAUGUAAUGAAAAAUCAUAAAAUAGAGGUCCAAGUUUGGGCUCAAACAAGUAUGCGUGUAGAGGCAUCACCUUAUUAAAACAACUCAGCCAUAUCAACAAUCAAGCGGCAACUUUAAUCUGGCCAGCAAGUAUUUGACAUCAAAAUCCCUCGAUUUUGUUGUUAAACUUGCUGCAUCAGUUUGAGGGGAAAAGAAAGCAAGUAGAUGGAUAUCUCUUACCUAAUCCAAGUGGACUUCCUGGAGCAGAUUGGUGAACUGGAUUAGAUCGACAACAGCAAUCCAGGAAGCGCGAGAGCUAGGUUCAGACGAGUUGGAGGAGAACACUGUUGAGCAAGGGAACGAGCAUGGGUUAUGGUGAAGCAAAGUGAUAAUGAGCUAGUUGAGAGAGAAUAUUAUAAAGUCUAGGAAGGCCAAAACUUUCACUUACCAAAAACAUUAAACAAAGACCAAGACUUUGAAGGGCACACACCAAUAGUUAGAGGAAUAAAAAUAAAUUUAUUUUUUUUCCAUAGGUGCUUGUCUCCUCAUGUCUAGAGAUUAUCCCAAGAUAUCUUAAAUGAAGACCCAGACUUUUUGUUGCCCAUCUACCAGUCAUCAGAGACAGCUAAUUUUGUCUGAUCAAUAAGGAAAACAUAAGCACGUUCUUUGCACCUAAACAUCUACAAGUCAUGCACACUAACUAAUCCAUAAAGCAACUUGAUUUAUUUUUCUCUGAAAACAGUAAACAAGUUAAAAAAAGCCACCAACGAAUAUUUAUAACCUACUGAAAAUAACUCUUUAAGCAUGACAUUAAUGAACUGGAAAAUCGUGUUCAAUCCCUACGUGGGAAGGAAACUUUAAUGAAACCCAGGAAGUCCAAGACUUUGCAGGAUGCAAACUGGAUUUGUUGCUUGGCUUUUCCCAUCCCUCUUCUUCCAUCCCUAUGUGAAUGUUUUUUUUUUUCCAUUACCAGUAGAAUUUCCAAUCACAUGGAUUCUAAGUGAUUUUUUGUUUGAAUGAAAUAUUAUUUGACAAUUAGUAUUGAUUGUUGUUCUCUUGCUUAAAAUUUACCAUACUACAAUUAUUGUCGAACUUUCUUCAUUUUUAGUCACUCUGAUUUUCCCUUCCUUAAUCUCUAUUGUACCUGUCUUUAUAGUUAUGUCUACAUUUUCGUUUAUCUUUCCAAGCUAAAGUUUAAUAAAAGAAAGAAAAAGAAAAACCUGAAAACCCCCAAAAAAAAAAAAAUGCAAGAAUGGGGCGAGAGAGCGCGCCAUCAAUCCCAUUGUCACGGCCGCACCGUCGUGUUAGCACCACCGCCUGGGCAACUCAUCCAAUGCCGCCACUACUGUCACUGCUGGCGCUUCUAAGCGGAGCAACCAUCACAGGCAAUUGCCUCUGAUUACCUAAUAACUAACCUAAAUAGAUCUAGAGGCGAUUUCAUAAUGUAAAGGAUUAAUUCUAGGGUUAUCAGUUUCUCACGUGCAUCGUGAAAAAUUGGGUUGCACGUGGAGCUCACAUCAUUCAACAGUGAACGUGAAAUGGGCUCACAUACUCCAGGUUAACAUUUGUUACCUUUGUCCGUUGAAUAAGGAAAAGGUAACUUUGUAUGUUCGUGCCCAUUUGAGGAACCGAGGAACUUCUUGUAUUUCCAUAACAUACUCAAGUUAUUUGAUUGUAUUAUUUUCUCAAACGUACGCGAAUUAUUUAUACUGUAGCUAUCAUGUGAAAGCUUGCAUUGAUCACAUAUUCACCAAUAAAGCAUGAAAUAAAGAUAUUGGAACAAGGAUACUGACGAUAUAUGACUACUAAAAGAGCCAGAAAGCCAAUAGUAAUCAACAGAUUUUUGGAGAAAAUACACGUGCACUAUAAGUUGGUCAUAUGGAAAACAAUCACCUCUUAUUUUCUGUUUUGCAUGGCCACAAGAAAAGAUCCCCUAUUUCAAACACAGGCCAAAAGUCUUGAUCCAAAACAGAGGAGAAAAUGUGAUUUUUCUUUACAUGACCAAUUUAGAGUGCAUACGGAUUAUCGUUAAACAUUUAUUACAAGUGUCUCAUUGGCUUUUUUUUUUUUCAUCCAUACAUUCUCGAUGGCCGUAUGUGUUAAUGUCUUUGCUUUAAGCACUAUUGGUGGAUAGGCGAUCAAUAUAGGUCUUUACGUGGCAGUUGCGCGCUGAAAAUUUGCAGCAAUAUGAGCAGCAAUGAUCGGCUGAAGGGGGAUAAGCCAGUAGUGGACGAUAGGGAACCGCUUGAUAAGACAAUUUUGAUCCUUCACAUGAUUUUCCUGGUCAUUAGUGUGAUGCGUAGAGUAUAAUCUCUAGUAGAUUAUACCUUGUUAGUUGGCAAUACUUGACCCUUUUUUAUUUAGCAAUGAAUAAAGCAGACCAUUGUUUAAAGGACCAGCAAAUAAGCAUUUUGUGCAACUGGCGUAGACUACAAUAAGCAUCUUCGGUCAACUUGCAUGGACUAAAAUAAAUAUUUUUGAAAGAUAAAAUAUUAAGGAUCCACAAAACAAUGAAAUCUUACUCUUUAUUAUAAGUCUGCAAAUUACCAAAAACAGCUAAUUUUGUCUGUUCGAUGAGGAGAACGGAAACACAUGUUUUGGGCUAAACAAAAAGGGUUUGGCACACCAGCUAAUCCCUCAAGCAAUAUUUUAGUCCUAAAAUAAUGACAGCCAGCUAAUAUAUCAAGCAAGUUGCUUUAUUUUAGUCCUGAAAUGGUGAACAAGUCGUAAAUCAUCAACUAAUUCAUUAAGCAAGUUACUUUGGGCCAACUUUGUCUGUUCAAAGGACCACAAUUCUUUUAACAAGCAAUUCAUGAUUAUCAACUUCUUUAGCACCCUGCAACGGAUCAUUGCUGCCGAUCUUUCUGCAAUUUUUUUAGCUCUAUAGCUGACAUGUAAGAGCCUAUAACUACAAAAAUAAAUAAUAAUAAUAAUAAUAAUAAUAAUAAUAAUAAUAAUAAUAAUAAUAAUAAUAAUAAUAAUAAUAAUAAUAAUAAUAAUAAUAAUACUAAUAAUAAUAAAAUAACAGCACACUUAGAAGUUAUACUCUUACAAACGAUAGCCAAAAGUCUUGAUAUAGAGAAAAAGGACAAAAUUGAUUUAUCUAACUCAAGGACAUAAUGUGCAUCAAGGUCCUCUCUUCGGUCUAACUCAAACAGCUUGUCGUGAUAAUAUGCUCUAUUAAAAUACUUUUCAUCAGGAAGACCUAGACUUUGAUCGGAUAUCAUGUACAUUAUUAUUUAGAAAGUGAAGCAAAAAUCAGAAAGUGUUGAUCAAAAAGAAAUUUUAAUCAAUUCCAAGAAGAUCAAUAAUUUGGAGGACGCAAAUUGGCAUUAUUGCUUCACUUUUCACAUCCCUCCUCUUGCAUCCCUACGCGAAUGUCUCUUUUUCCAGUACAAAUAGCACUUUCAGGUAUUAUAUGUCUUUCUUAAAGUUAACAAUACUAUAAAUUAGCAUAAGAAGGAAGCCAUGAAAGAACCCGGAACGAUCUCUCUAUAUGUUGUAUUGGUCACUGUUGACACCUAAAUUUUGACGAUUUAGUUUAUUUAUUUAUUACAUAGGAAAUUAGGGGUUAAUUUUAUUAAUUGCAUAGCAUAUAGAUUUAUAUUUGCAUUUAUUUUGUUAUUUGCAUUUUAUCUAUUAGACCGGUGGCGGAUAUAUUCAAAUUAGAUGAAUCUUUUUUGGAUAGGGCAGAUGGAUAAAAAAUAUUGCGAUUUGUCUUUAAAAAAUUUGGAUUUAGAAAAAAUCUCAUCUUGAUCUUGAAUUCUUAUCAAUAUGAGAUGAAUUUUGUUAAAAAGAUUUGCAAGGUUGAUUCGAUGAAGAAUUUGAAAAUCCAAUUCCCUCCCCUAUAAAAGGCCGUGCGUGCGAGGGGUUUUGGGGGGUUCGUUUCUUGCUUUCGAGGGGCUUCUUUAAAAAAUUCAGAAAAAAAGUCAAGAGAGGAGCAAAAAAAGGAAAAAGCUUCUGCAGAAAGGGGGAGAAAAGAGAAGUACAGAGAGAAAGUGACGUGAGAGGAGACAGGAGGAGAGAGAAAGAAAUAAAAAAAGGGGAAGAAAGCACUGUUCUUCUUCUCCGGUGGGCUCGACUGCUGCCCGCGCUCGCUGCUCCUGCUCCGUUCGCCUCGCCCCACCUCCGCCGCACCUCCGAAGCCCGCAACCUGCAGGUCUCUCGCUCGCCAUCACCGAGCACCACCGACGCUGCUCCUGCUCCGUUCGCCUCUGCUCCCGCCGCCGCCGCCGCUUGAAGCCACCGCCGUGCUGCCUCUGGUCCAACGCCUAGCGUUCCCCUCUAUCCGGAGCAAGACCCAAACAGAUCUGUAACCACACAGACCCGAGUCCUCCGCCCGGGCGCCUUUGUUCCACGGGUCCUUGCUGCUCAAGCGCCGCUGCUGCUCCUUCGACGAGCCGCGCCUCCUGGCCCGAGCUGCUGCUUCGCCUACCAACCCAACGACCCACGAUCCACGCUCCAGCUCCGUCGCCCCUGCGAAACUGCUGCUGCCUUGCCGAUCCGCUCCACCGGCCAGACAAAGCCCUUCGCGCCUCAGCCAAUCUCUGUCCCCGAUCUGCCGUGCCGGAGCUGCUGCCCGACGCCGCUGCUCGCCCCCCUCGCCGGUGCCCGAACGUCGGCUGCUUCGCCCGAGCACCCCUGCAACGCUGCUGCCCCUCGCCGGACCUUCGCCGGAGCCGGUGGCCAGCCGCACGGACGUGAAGUUUGAAAGAAAAGAAGAAAAACAGAAAAAGAAAAAGAAAAUCUGAUUAGGUGGUUUUUCCUUCUCUUUUAUUUUACCUUUUUUUUUUAAUAUUCUGUUUUAGUGGAAUUGUUCCUUGAUAUAUUAUUGAUAUCCCAAUAUGAAAUAGUCUAUCAAGCACUAUCAAGCUAGGGAUUGACAGUCCGAUUUUCGCGCCCGAAAUCCGACUCGCAAUCCCUUAUAAAAAUCGACAAUCCAAUCUCAAGCCCGAGAUUUGAUUCGCGAUUUAAAAUUAAAAUUGGUCUACCCGAUCUCAUGCGCGAGAUAUGGUUCGCCAAUUUUUGGAUAUCAAUCUUAUCUUUUAUUUGAUUUGCUAUCGUCAAGUUUGGUUGAGUCAAAUCUUAUUUUCAUAAAAAUAAAAAAUCAAAAAAAUCUUAAUUAGGAUUAGGUUUGUUGUCAUCUUGCAUAUUUAGGAUUGCAAUCUUAUUAUGAAUUUUUUAAAUAAAAAAAUCAAAAAAAAGAAAGUACAAUCAUUUAGGUUGUUAGUUUUUUUAUUUGAAUUGCAUGUUAAUUAUGUGAAAACUUUAAUUUCGAAAUUAAUUAAAAAAAACCCAUAAAAAAUCAUUGUGCAUAUUAGAUUAGAAUUGCAUGCUUCAUUUUAAAUUUAGAUCAUCUUUUUUAAGAUAAAUGGCAUUUUAGAUUUAGAUAAUAUCUUAGUUUAAAUUAGGAUUUAAUAUGACUUAAUCCCUAGUUUAAAUUAGAUAGAAUCUUAAUUUAGCUAGAUCAUUUGAAAUUUCAUAAAAUUUGUCUUAGGAUAAAUUAGUUGCAAUUUCUAAGAUAGAUUGCAUUUUUUAAUAAAAAAUGUCAUAUGCAUAUGUCAUGUAGAAUUAGAGCAUUCUUUGCACGUCAUUGCAUGCUAAGAUUACAUAUUAUAGGUUUAGAUAAUUUCUCCUAAAUAGAUUGCAUGCUUAUUAGGAAAAUAAAAAUCAUGUGCACGUCAUAUAAAAUUAGUCUCAUACAAUGCACGUCAUUUAGUGAUUUUUGUUAAGUGCAUUUAAUUAGAAAUUGCCCGUCAUUAGAAUUAGGUCAUUAGAUUAAUUUAGAUUGCAUAUUUAAAUGUUGCAUUUCUUUAAUUUCAAAUCUCAUAGAAAAUAAAAAAAAUAUAUUUUGAAUAAAUCAUCUCAUGCUUAGGAUAGAUCACAUGCUUAAUUAUGUCAUAUUGCUUAAGUCAUAUAGCUAAGUCAUGUUGCCAUGUCAUAUCAUUUCAUGUUAAAUUAGUGGCAUGCAUUGCAUAUUGCAUGAUUUUCAUUAAUUAAGUGAAAACAAAAAUUAAGUAAUUGCUUGUUAAUUAGAAACCAUAUCUAGGAUUGUUGAUAUGGAUUUUAAUUUAACACUGCAGAUGCUUUCGUUGCUUUGAGGUAAGUUCUGCAUCAUUUAUUUGCUUUAUUGGAUGUUAAAUUGGUGGUUUGCGCACCCGCAUGGUCGCCUCACAUGUUAGGGAAUUAAAAUCAAUUCAAACUGCUUGCCAAACAUUUUUGAAAAUAAAAAGAAUGGUACCGAAAGGGCAUUAGAGAAAUCUAAUGUAAUCAAGUCCCCGUACCCAUAAUCUCUGGUUCGUAGAAGUAAAAUAAUUCUCUCAUUAUUUUACUUAGGUGUCUAAUCGACCUACCAAAAAUAGAUUAGUGGCGGCUCCUAAUUGAAAAUCAAUUGCAUGUUAUAAACUUGAACCUAAGUCGCGAAUUGGUAUGGGCUUGGGAGAGCCCGAGUUAAGUCUAGGCUUAACAAUCCAUUAGCCAAACCCUAGGUGGUUCGUAACCCAAAAAAAAUUUGGUCGCGACAGUCACUGAAGAAAACGACAAGGUAUAUGGUGAAGGUAGGUGAUAAUGAGCCUAUGGAGAGAGAAAACUAUAGAGUGCAAGAUGACCAAAACUUUUACCGACCAAAAAGAUUAAAAAGAGACCAAGACUUUCAAGGACGUACAUAAGAGGUUAGACAAAUCGAAGUAAAAUAUUUUCUCUCCACAAGUGCUUAUUUCAUGAAUUGUUCGCCUUUUUCUUCAUAUCAAGAUUUUUUUUUUGUUUUUUUUAAUAUGACCAAGUCCACGCAUGUUUUCUUUCCUAACCUGUGUUUUGUUGGCUUUUUGGCUUUGAAUGCAUCUGUAAAUUUCUAGCAUCCUAAUGAUUUCUACAUAUCGUUGAAUAUGCAAUCAACGUGGGCUUUUUCGUGGCCGUUACAGCCCUAAAAAGUCCCAAAUGUUUAAGAAAACAAUUACCUUGAGUAUAUUAUGGAUAAAUAAGAAGGUGCUCGAUUAGUCCUUUAAUGUGGACGAACAUGUAAAGUUCUUGCCGAAAGAUUAGCAAAUAUUUUAGCGGUGAAGGAAGCCAACCAUCAUAAUUGGGACUGGCAAAUGAGCAUCUUUGUACUGAUUGCACUAACUGAAUCUUCAGAUAAACAUUUUGAAAGAUACGCCAAGCAAUGGCAGCUUAGUUUUUGUUAUACAUCUACAAGUCAUCAUGGGCGGUUAACGUUGUGUGUUGGAUAAGGAAAAUAGAAAUAAUUGCUUAAGGAAAAGUAAACAUUAAAAUAACAUAAAUUUAGUUCUACAGAUCUUCACAUUUUGUCAAUUGAGUUUAUCUAGUCAAUUUUGGUCGGAAAUCGCUUAUGUGGAUAUCGGUUGUCCUACAUGACAUGACGGGUUUUGAUGUAGGUAAUUAAUAUAUUAAUAUUUUUUGAAAGUCUUUUUUAUUUUUUUUCCUUUUCUCUUCUUUUUUUUUUCGUUUUUUUUCCCUUUCAUUGACCAUCAAUGAGGCGAUGGCCGGCUAAUGGAAAAAGGGAAAAAGAAAAAAAAAGAAAAAAAAAGGUAAAAGAGAAGAAAAUAAAAAAAAUAAAGAAGGAAAAUAUAAGAGAAGAAAAAAGGAAAAAGAAAACAAAUGAAUAAAAAAGGGAAAAUUCCAAACAAUGGCCUAAAGUGCUAACAGUUUCUCAAAUAAGAGUUUAAAAUGGAUUUUGUGUCAAAUAAAAACCUGAAGUGACCAUAAUUGUUUCAAAUAUGGGCUUGAAAUAGCCAUGAUUAUUUUAAAUAAGGGUCUGACCAUGUCAAUUGCUAGCCAGCUUUGUAUUUUGACCGAUUAAAGGGCGCAUUCAUCUAAAAAUUUUACUUUAAAUUAUUCUUAUUCUCUUAUUUUUCUUUUUCUUUUUUCUUUUUAUAUUUUCAAACAAGGGCCGCACGACCGCUAACGAGGGUCAGCGAGGGUUACAUGGCCCUUAGCGACAGCUUGUAAGGGCUGGUGAGGGCUUGACGAGCCUUGUCGACCUCACUUGAGGCAAGGGUCGCCUCACCUAGGCAAGGCCAUCCCUCAUUGGCCACUAGUGAGGGCUGACCUUGUCAACAGUUGCCCUUGCCUAUGGUCGGUGAGGGUGGCCCUCAUCUAGCUCUCUCCAAGCAUUGCUAGUGCCUGGCCGGCCACCAACGAAGAAGAAAGAAAAACUAGAAAAAGGAAAAAAAAAUAAGGAAAAAAUUCAAAAAAUAUAGAUGAUGAAAAUGCCUUUAAGUAACUAAACAGUGAAGCUCUUAUUUGAAAUAGAUAUAGCCAUUUCAUGCCCUUAUUUGAGAAAACGAUGGCGCUUCAAGUCUUUGUUUGAAACAAAGUUCACUUCAGACUCUUAUUUGAGAAAAUGAAGGUAUUUCAGGCCCUUAUUUAGAAUUUUCCCAAAAAUAUAUUAAAUAAUAUUAAAAUUGAUUGCGUCAAUGCUAAUUGUCUUGCCACAUAAGACAGCUGGUGUCAAUAUCUAUGAUUUCAGAUUAAAAUUGGGAAGAUGGAUUUAAUUAACAAAAUGUGAAAAGAUUAAUGAUUCAAUUGACACAAUUUUGACAAAAAAGAAUUGACUUAAUCAAAAAAAUUAUAAUUGAAUUGGGAAAAAGUACAAUAAAUUUAGGAAUUUGAAUAAUUUUCCCCCACCAACUAAUCCAUUGAGCAACUUGCUUUGCAAUACUGAAUGAGUUAAAAAUCACCAACUAAUACCAUAUAAUAUAUAGAAAGUUACACUACACAUCACACACAUAUAAUAUACCUGCCACACCAAACGACCAUAGAUUAAACAAAGCAAACAAAAUAAAAUACUUUCUGUGCACAACUGUUUGUUAUGUAAUAUUCGGAGAAUAUCCCCCAAAGACUUUAUUGGAUAUCCUGUGCUAUCUUGUCUGGAAAUUUCUACGCCUAACAUGUGAAGCAAAAGUGAAGCACUUAAAGAAAGACUAACAAUUGGCUCAAAAAAAAAAAGAAAAAAAGAAAGAAAGAAAGACUACCAAUUGAAAAGAAACUUUAAUCAAUUCCACAAAGAUCAAGAGAUUGCAUGAUGCUGCUUUACUUUUCGCAUCCCUUCUUUACCAUUCCUAUGUGAAUGUCUCUUUUUCCAAUACUAGCAGAAUUUUCACGUAUUACAUAUAAUUAACAAUACUAUUUCCAUGAGACUCUUUCCGUGUUUAAUCACGUUGGGGUUUUUUAUUCAUUACUCUCUAUUGUGCAUGUCUAUUGAAAUUAUGUCUAGGUUUCCAUAAGUUCGAUAAAAUAAAAAUGGCAUAAAGAGAAACGAAGAAGACAAAACAGCAAAAACUUUGAAAAAAAAUAUUAGGAAUGGGGCGACCGAGAGAGCGCCACCGAUCCCACGGCCAUUGCCACGCUGUGGUCAUCAACACCACCGCCAGGACAACUUAUUCCAACACCGUUGCUGCUGGCACUACUAGCUGGACUAAUCAUCUCACAUUUAAUUUAAUUACCCAAUUACUAACCUGACUCCAUCUAUAGGGAAAUUUUCAUUGUAAAUAAUGAAUUUUAGGUUCAUGAUUUUUCCGCUGCACUUUGAAAAGUUAGCUUUCACAAGGAGCCCACACCAUCCGAUGGUCGAUUUGAGCCGAGCUCAAAUGCUCAGGGUUCAUUCAUUAGUUUCCCCUCAUCCCGCGUCUAAGACUUUACAGGCCGCCACCAUGAAAAAAAAAAAUGGGUUUAGGCCCAAGAGACCCAAUUGGGCCAAUUCUCAUUUUAUCCCAUGAAGCUCCAUCUUAGAAGCCCAACGGACUAACUUCCUCCAGCUUAUUUAUAAAUGUUGGAGCUAGCUUAACAGGAGAAAGUAGAAUAGUUAUGAGAGAGAGAAGAAUCCAGAAAACUGGAAAAGAGAAGUAAACCCCGCGCGCGCGCGCGAGUGAGAGAGGGUUUAGGUAAUCUUUUUUGGGCUUUCUCUAUGUAGCUAAGCCUCAUUUUCAGUUUUGUAAAGGAUAUGGGAACCCAAUGAACCACUCUCAGUUGAUGGUAAUAACUAGAUUCACCUGAUAUAACAAAACUUGUAGUACCUUCCUAUAGUCCUGAAAAUUCCCAUGGAUAGGUGCCACCUUGCCUUGUGGAAUCAGCCAGACCUCAUCUGAGGUUCCAGCUAUUAGAUGCUUAUUGUGAAUAAGCUGCAAAUCAAGGUGAAAGAAGGGCUAUUAGUUGUGAAAAUGAUCCAUGGUUGGUCAAAUUGAAGUAUUUUGACCACAAAAUCAAUCUCACCAUCUCAAUUGCUCCUUAGAACAAGACCAGACCUUGAAUGAGCACCUCAGCCACAUCCAAAUCCUCCAGUUGUGGAUAGGCAAAACAGCAGAGUCGCACUCAAUCAUCCUUGGACAAGAAACUAACAAUUUACAAAGAUAAUUCUUCAGUAGUCACUACUCAUUAAAGCAGAGCUUAAAGACCACAUUUAUAAACAAAGCCCAAUACUACCUACAGGCACAGAUAUCAGAACUCUUUGGUAUUACAGAUUACUCCAAUACGAAAAAACUGAUCAGGCUAACUAUUCUAGUCCAAAUAUUUUCCAAGUUGAAAUGAUUAGAUUGGUUUCUGUUCCAUUAUAAGUUAGAUAUAUGAUGACAGAAUAGACGCUCUCUAUAGUUGUUAUCACUAAUUGAUUCUCUUGUAUUUUCAAUGUAACAUUAGAUUCCAAUAAGUUCAAUUAGUGCAAGAACAACAACAGGCUAAAUGAAAAGUAUUUGGAGUCAUAAGGUGGACAACAAGAGCAGACUUACCAGAUGAUUGGAUGGCUCAUCAAGCAAAACUAUGUGAGGCUUUUUCAAAGUUAUCUUGGCAAAUGCAACUUUGCCUUUCUGUGCACCUAUUUAUAUGGUCAAAGCACCAUGUUACAUAUGCAAUAACAUCCAAAAAGCCUCAGAGUAGUACACAGUGAACUACUUGCAAAUUGACUAACCUCUAUUAGGGCUUCACAAUGUCAUAAAACAAUUGCUUCAAAAAUAAUUUACAUAUGCAACUGUAGCGGAGAGGGAGGCAAUGUAUCAUAAAGGUAUACAUUGGUUGAAGUGCAAGAUGUCCAAUUACACCAAAGGAACGCAAGUGAGCUCGAAGCUUUUCAAUUGAAAAUCCCUGCAAGAAGAAUGCUACAUAAGAAGGCAUUUGCAGAUAAAACGACAUGAUGUAUAACAAAAUCAUAUUCCGCAAUGGAGUAAAUGCAAACAACCAAUACUUUAAAGACCUGAACAGAUUUGCCCCAGAGGUCACUACUAAUAAUGCAAACACAAAGGCAGGCAACAUAUCGUUACAAUCUCAACCAAAUAAGCACGAGUAUAUAGGCUAAAAAUUUCUAGCAAGCUGUAAACACAAACAGAAUGGUGAUCUAUGGAAUAUCAAUACUAUCAUGAUGGAGUUGUAUUAAAAGCUUGGAGCAAUAAGCUGCCCCAGAAAUGUGUCCCAAAUAGAUUGCUUAAUACUACAAAGGAUCAUCAUCAAUAAAAAUAAAAAAAUAAAAAAGGGUUCUCGAUUCUAAAGAAAACCAUUGAAAAAAAAAACAAUGAAUGAGCUAGGACACAAGAAAAAGAUGGUGGGAAGAGAACAUACAAGAAACGCUGAAAAUGCAAAGACAUAUGAUUGUGGAACGCUAUAAUUCUUCGUGAUAGUGCAUCUUUCUUCACAGUUUUUUUAAGCAUCAAGUAGAGUUGAAGAUAUUCCAUCAAUAUAGCAAGAGGCAGCACUGAGUGAAUUUCGACCUAAAGUUUAUUGUCCAACGAAACAGAACUGAUCCAACCCAACAAGAAAUCCCACUCAAAUGUCAGUCUUUGACUUUCAGUGGUAGAGCUUGCCUACAUCCUAAGAAUGGGUUUUGUUGGCCAUGAUAAUAUUUUCAUAAUUAAUUCUCCAAAAUAGUGCCGAAUAGUGAAAAUGGGGAAAUAUAUUGAUAUAGCUUUCUCACAAAAUAGAUUUGUCUUACAAAAUAAUUUACUGUGCUAAAAUAUUCUUUUGCAAAUGAUUAAAUCAUUUUAGUGUGCAUGAGAAAACUGACUUCGGUGGCAAUAGAGUAUCAAACUUCCAGGGGCACAACAAAUGUACCUAUUGCUAUAACAAAAUGUGCAAAGAAUCAUAAAUUAUACCAAGAUUACAAUCACAACUCAGUUCUUAAGCUAUUGCAAAUGAUACUGUAUGCUGUCAAAAACUUAGACUCAUCGUUCCACAAGCCCUUGUCAAGUAUAAAUGACAAAUGAGGGCUGGUGUAACUGUGAGUCUGUCCUGUAUAUCAGUAGCAAUCCUCUCUUCAUCCUUUUUUGCUUUCUCUAUGUAGCUAAGCCUCAUUUUUUGUUUUGUGAGGUAAUGUGAACCCACUAAACCACUCUUAGUCGAUGGCAAUAACUAGAUUCACCUGAUUCAAUAAAAAUAGGAGUACAUUCCUAUAGUCCUAGAAAUUCCCAUGGAGAGGUGCCACCUUGCCUUGUGAAACCACCCAGACCUCAUCCAAGAUUCUAGCUAUUAGAUGCUCAUCAUGACCAACCUGCAAAUCAAGGUGAAAAGAGGGCUAUUAGCUGUGAAAUGAUCCAUCAUUGGUCAAAUUGAAGUAUUUUGACAAGGAAAUCAAUCUCACCAUCAGAAUUAAUCCUUGGAACAAGACCAGACCUUGAAUGAGUGCAGAAUUAAUCCUUGGAAUCNNNNNNNNNNNNNNNNNNNNNNNNNNNNNNNNNNNNNNNNNNNNNNNNNNNNNNNNNNNNNNNNNNNNNNNNNNNNNNNNNNNNNNNNNNNNNNNNNNNNGAAUUGGAAAAAAAAAAAAACAAAACACUAUCAUUAGACAGAACUACAAUUACCAAGAUAAUUCUUUAGUCACUGGUCAUUAAAGCAAACUUAAAGACCAGAUUUACAAACAAAAAGGGGUCCAGAUAUUUGUAUGUAAAGCCCAAUACUGCCUAUAGGCAUAAAGAUCAGUACCAUUUGGUAUUGUAGAUUGCUCUAUUCUGAAUAUUUUCCACAUUGGAACAAUUAGAUUGGUGUCUGUUCCAUUAUUUGCUAGAUGUAUGAUGACGAGGGCUACCAGCAGCUAUGACCACCAUUUGGUUCUACUAUAUUUUUAAUGUAAAACCCAGAUUCCGACAAGUUCAAUUAGUGCAAGAACAAUAACAAGCUAACUGAAAAAGUAAUCAAAGUCAUAAAAUGGAGAAAUAUGAGUAGAACUUACCAAAUGAUAGGAUGGGUCGUCAAGCAAAACUAUGUGAGGUUGCUUGAAAGUUAUCUUGGCAAAUGCAACUUUGCUUUUCUAACCACCUAUUUAUGUGGUCAAAGCACCAUGUUAUAUGUGCAAUAACAUCCAAAAAGCCUUGGAGAAAGUACACAGUGAACCACAAUUCAGAUUACAAAUUAUCUAACUUUUAACAGAGCUUCACAAUGUCAUAAGAACAUUGCUUCAACAAAAAAUUUAUACAUGCAACACUAGCACAGAGAGAGGAGAUAUACCAGGCAAGAUACAAAUUGGUUGAAUCACAAGAUUUCCAGUUACUCCAAAGGAACCCAUGUCAGCUCAAACAUUUUGUUAUGGAACUCCUUUUGGGAAGAAUGCCACAUGGUCACCGCUGAUGAUGGAAACCCGAAGGUAGGCAGCCUAUCAUAACAAUCUCAACCAAACAAGCAUAAGUAUAUUUGCUAAAAAUUUCUAGCAAGCUGUGAGCAACAGUUCCUAAACCACCAGAAUUCGAGACCCAACCAGAAAGCGAUUUAUGGAAUAUCAAUGCUGUCACGUGAAAGCUUGGAGCCAUGAGCUGCCUCGGAAUUUUAUCCCAGAUUGACUGCUUAAUACUACAAAGAAUCAUCAUAAAAAAGGAAGAAGAAGGUUCCUAUUCUUAAGAAAUCCAUAAAAUGAAAAAACCGCAUCCAUUUUCUUCACAAUCACAUCAUAGCUUCCACAAAACUAAUCAUCCUUUUAGAUUUUGAAAAAGAUCUGUUCUUAUUUAGAUCAUAUUCACCAGAAGGAAAAUUCAGAACGUAGCAGUGCAACAAAUAUAUUUAAUUGCUUCUUCCUUUAUUGAUAAAUUGCAAAAGAGAAAAAAAAAAACGAAGCAAGACAAUGACACCAACAGCAUUAGCCCUACCUUAGCAGCGUUCGCACGUGAUCCUUCCAAGAGAUUCUGCCAAUGCAAGAUCACAAUGGUAUCUGCAAAACAAGCAGAGUGAAUGAGCUUAAGGGCCCAAGAAAAAAUAUGUUGGGAAGAGAACAGACAAUAGACGCAGAAAAUGCAGAGGACUAUGAUUGUGGAAUGCUACGAUUCUUCGUGAUGGUGCGAUUUCAUUCACAAAUGGUUUGGGCAUCGAGCAGAAAUGAGGAUAUGUCGUCAACAUAGCAAGAGGCAGCACUGCGAGCGUUUCAUCCUACAGUUCAUCGUCCAACGAAACAGAGCCAAUCCAACCCAACGCAAUCCCCCACCCAAACAUCAGUUCGUAUUGAGCAUCGAAUUGAGAAAGUAGAAUGGAAAAGGAUGCCUUCAAAACCAAAAAUAACUUACUCGGACCCUAAGAAAACUCACUGUAGUGUAGAUGCACGAAUCAAUUCACCGGAUGUGAACGUGAGGGAUCUCUUCGAUGAGGGGCCAAUAGUCGCCAGUGAGUUUUGCGCAUCGCUCUUUCAGAAUCUCGCAUCUAGGUAAGUACAAUCGUUGGAGGGAGGGAGGGAAGCCAUCCUCUGGCAAGUACCUCAACUUGGGGCAAUCUGUAAUAAAAAACAAUCGAAGAGAGGAGAGAUGGUUGCAGAGACCGCUCGAUAGUCUUUCUGUGUUUCUCAAACCAUAUAUGAGAAGAGAGGUUAGAGAGGAAGGAAAGAGACUCCAAGCAUCCUUAUCCUCCGAAGGAAACCACUCCUUCUCUCUCUCCCCUUCCAUGUUAAAAUCAAUGGUCAGACUCUCGAGAGAUGUGAACAGGUGUAAGCCCCACUCUCUCACUGGCUGCUUCAGAGCCACGGGCACCAUAAUUCCAAGGUCUCGCAAUUUGGGAGGCAGACCUCCUUUGGGGAAGAAUUUGAUAUUUUGGCAAUAGAAAAUUCUUAGCUCUUGGAGGGAGGUAAGAUGAUGCCACUUAUUUGGCAGGGACUUUAUCAUCGGACAAUCCCAAAGUUCAAGACUCUGCAAGGUGAUGGGAAGGGGUGGGAAGUCCUCUAUCUCCAAUACCAGACACUGCCAUAUUUUCAAUUUAGUGAGAUUGUUACACUUGGCAAUGUUACAGUUGGCAAUAGACUUUAUCUUAGAACAAUGAUUAAGAGCAAGACUCGAGAGGGUUACGGGAAGGGGAGGGAAGUCCUCUAUCUCCAAUGCUGGACAAUUAUCAAUAUCCAAUCGAGUGAGAUGGGAGAGCGUGUGAAGGCACUGUGGUAAGCUUCCCAAAUUUUGACAAUUGUUAAUUGUCAUUGUUUCAAGCGAUUCUACGGCAAUCCCUUCCAAUGACUCCACUCCCUCACAAUUGUCUAUAUGAAGUGCCUUCAGAGGAGCAAGUCUACCCUUGGCAAAUGAAAAGGAUAUCGGAGAAUCACAGCAACAUAUCUUAAGAGAUUCAAGUUGAGAAAUCGAAUUAUUGCUACUCGAGUCACCUUGAGGAAUGUUUAGAGCCAUGAUUUUUGGACAAUUUUCAAUCACCAAAUGUUUGAGUGCGUGCAUCUUGCUUGGAAGAUUUUCUAAACUUGUGCAAUCAACCAAUUCCAUCAUUUCAAGAUUACAGGGUAGCUCUAUCUCUCCGUCUCCUGCCACAAAAGAUAUGAAUUGAGGACAAUUCUUUAUUACUAAUUCCUGGAGGCAAGUGAGAUUUUGUGUUUCAUCUCCAUCUUGCCACAAGCAUGUUAGCUUGUCACACAGUCCUAUAUGAAGCUUCCUUAGCUUGCCCAAGCAACUCAUAAACCGAUGAUCAAAGGAAACAAGCUCUAUGAGUUUGUUAAUUUUGAGAACUGUCAAAGAAGUUAGCUUGAACAAGCUCUUUAAGAUCUCCUUACUACAAUCCUCAAGGUAUAACUCAUCGAGAGAUGGAAGACAUAACUCACUGGUUGAGUUAUUCAAUUGUUGGCAUGAAUGAAUUUCAAGCUUUAUAAGAUGAUCAAGUUGACAAGGUAAUGUCUCGACCAGCGAAGGACAGNNNNNNNNNNNNNNNNNNNNNNNNNNNNNNNNNNNNNNNNNNNNNNNNNNNNNNNNNNNNNNNNNNNNNNNNNNNNNNNNNNNNNNNNNNNNNNNNNNNNNNNNNNNNNNNNNNNNNNNNNNNNNNNNNNNNNNNNNNNNNNNNNNNNNNNNNNNNNNNNNNNNNNNNNNNNNNNNNNNNNNNNNNNNNNNNNNNNNNNNNNNNNNNNNNNNNNNNNNNNNNNNNNNNNNNNNNNNNNNNNNNNNNNNNNNNNNNNNNNNNNNNNNNNNNNNNNNNNNNNNNNNNNNNNNNNNNNNNNNNNNNNNNNNNNNNNNNNNNNNNNNNNNNNNNNNNNNNNNNNNNNNNNNNNNNNNNNNNNNNNNNNNNNNNNNNNNNNNNNNNNNNNNNNNNNNNNNNNNNNNNNNNNNNNNNNNNNNNNNNNNNNNNNNNNNNNNNNNNNNNNNNNNNNNNNNNNNNNNNNNNNNNNNNNNNNNNNNNNNNNNNNNNNNNNNNNNNNNNNNNNNNNNNNNNNNNNNNNNNNNNNNNNNNNNNNNNNNNNNNNNNNNNNNNNNNNNNNNNNNNNNNNNNNNNNNNNNNNNNNNNNNNNNNNNNNNNNNNNNNNNNNNNNNNNNNNNNNNNNNNNNNNNNNNNNNNNNNNNNNNNNNNNNNNNNNNNNNNNNNNNNNNNNNNNNNNNNNNNNNNNNNNNNNNNNNNNNNNNNNNNNNNNNNNNNNNNNNNNNNNNNNNNNNNNNNNNNNNNNNNNNNNNNNNNNNNNNNNNNNNNNNNNNNNNNNNNNNNNNNNNNNNNNNNNNNNNNNNNNNNNNNNNNNNNNNNNNNNNNNNNNNNNNNNNNNNNNNNNNNNNNNNNNNNNNNNNNNNNNNNNNNNNNNNNNNNNNNNNNNNNNNAAACUUCAGUUUGUCAGCAACUCAUGCAGCACCUUGUCGGAUAUAAGGAGAGAGUUCCCACUAGAUCCAAUACGCACCAAAAUUAAACUUCUUAAUACCUUCAUAUCAUGAUAUGCCCUCAAGCAUUUUGAUGUAACAAACAGCGACCAAAUGAAUGAUGCAUACCGAGCUCUCUCCAGAGAUGCAUAGUCUUCAUUAAUUGCCGGUUGAGACUCCCCAGAGCUAAAGCAUAUCCCACCCUCAAUUGACUUUGCUAGAUCAUUCAAAAGAUCAUGCAUUGAAAAUUUAGAUGUGUCAACACUUGAUUUUUGAAGAAAUGAUCUUGAUACUAAUUCAUCGAAGUAAUUCCAUCCUAAUUCCAACUUAUUUUUCUUUGUUUUUUGUCCAUCUAAAAAUCCCUCCGCUAUCCAUAAGAGUACUAGCUCAUCCCUCUCAAUUUCGUAAUCCUUAGGAAAUACUGCACAAUAAGAAAAGCAUCUCUUCAAAUAGGAAGGAAGAUGGACGUAGCUCAAUUUCAAAAUAGGGAGAACCUCAUCAUUCUUUGUCGUUGGAAGAUCCCAUAUUAUGUUAUUUAAGGUAUCUUCCCAUUCACUGGGAUUCAUUUUAUGACGUAGGACACCGCUAAACAUCUUCGCUGCCAAAGGUAAACCUUUACAUCUUUUAGCUAUUUUCUUGCCUAUUGUUUCAAAUUCCGGGUGGCUCUUAAAAUUUGUUGCUUCAAGAGCAUGAAAGGCCAAUAAGCUUGUACAAUCAUUGAGGGACAAUUCCUUCAAGGAAUUGGCGGUGCUUUUGUUACUGAAACAACAGCAUGGUUGCGAGUCGUAAUAAUAAUCUUGCUUUCCCUAACACCCACUACAAAUGGCUUCCAGAGAUCAGUCCAUUUUUCGUACUUCUCAUUCCAAAUAUCCGUCUAGAACCCCAAAAAACUUCUUUUCGAAAAGAUUGUCCCUCAACUUAACUUGAAAACUCGUUUAAAAUCUUUGCCCUCACAGGGCAACCAAUUGAUUGACCGUAAAAUAAUCUUUGUUAUGUCGAGAANNNNNNNNNNNNNNNNNNNNNNNNNNNNNNNNNNNNNNNNNNNNNNNNNNNNNNNNNNNNNNNNNNNNNNNNNNNNNNNNNNNNNNNNNNNNNNNNNNNNUUUCCAAUACCGCCCAUCCCAACUAUGGGGACUAUGCUUAACGUGGCAUUAGAAUUUUUGACCUCAUUGAUCAAUAGUUCGAGUAUUUGUUCUACAUCCUCCUCCCUACCAAAAAAUUGAGGCUCUGAUAGAGAAGUGGUUAUCCUUUUACUGGUGUAGUUGGAUUUGUCCACAACAUUCUCUCUCAAGUUUAAACGAACCUUUCCAGUGACAAUCUCUUCCAACCGGUCAUUGAUCUCUUGUACCUUGGUUUCAGACAUGAGCGAGGGUGGUCGGCCAAAUACAGAGAACUUCCAUUUCCCCAAACCUUUGCUUGUGCUGGAUUCUGCCUCUGACUCAACUUGGGCAGCUUUGAUCUCAAACUCAUCGAGCAAGUCUUCCAUGUCAUAGGCCAAGUCCUUAACCUUGUCCAGCCACAGCUUCACUUGAUGGUUACCACUAAGUUCCUUGUCCUCCGCAUCAGCCAACACUGCAUUGAUUAUGACUAGCUUCUCCUUCCACACCUUAGGCAAGGUAGUGCUGAUUCCUUUAUGUUGUGCAUAACUUAAUGCGGAAGAAGCCAACUUGUCGAACAGGACCUGAAAGGAUGAAGCCAAAAAGGAACCCAACACGAUCCCUCCAAUGUCCAUAGGUGAAUCAGUCACUGUAAUGAACAAGAAAGGUGUUAUGGUGAAGCAAAGUGAAAAUGAACUAAUGGAGAGAGAAAACUAUGAAGUCCUAGGAACACUAAGAUGAUGACCUACGAAAAAGAUUUUAAAAAAAAAGACCAAGACUUUCAAGGGAUGCACAUCAAAGGUUAGACAAAUCAAAAUAAAUACUAUUUGUCCACAAGUGCUAGUUACAUCAAUUACUCUCUUUAUUCUUCGGAUCAAGACUUUUUGGCUAUUGGAUCUUUACUUUUGGCCAUCCAAAACAGUCUUAAUAUGACCAACUUAGAGCCAACUUAGAGUGUAUGCAUAUUUUCGCCAUAAGUGUUAUCACUCACGAGUGUUUUGUUGGCUUUUUUAGCGUUUGUAUAUUCUUAGUAACCUCAUGAUUUCAAUGUCAUUGUUUUCUGCUUUAUUGGUGAAUAUGAGAUUAAUGAAGUCUUUUACAUGGGAGUUUCUAUGUGAAAGAUUCAUAGCAAGAUGGGUGAUAAUGAUUUGUUGAAGUGUGUUGAGGUAGUGGUUGAUAAUUAGGAAUCACCUUGAUAGGAGAAUCGCGAUCCUUUGAACACGAUUAUCAAGUUCAUUAGUGUAAUGGGUAGAGUGUGACAUCCAGUGGAUUAUAUGUUGUUAAUACUGGACUCAUUUACCAUUUACAGAGAAAGCAACUUGCUUGAUGGAUUAGUUGGUGUGCUUAUCCCUUUUUUUCUUAUUUAGCGAUGUAUAAAGUUGACCAAGUUAAUAGGAUCAGCAAAUAAGCAUAUUUGUGCAACUUAGUAAAAUAAAUGCUUUUGAAACAUAACAUACUGAGGAUUCGCCCAAUAAUGGCAUCUUAGUUUCUGUUACACAUAUACAUGUUAUCAAAGACAAUUAACUUUGUCUAUCCACUAAGGAGAAUAGAAACACGUGCUUUAGGCUAAAUAAGGAAAAGGGUCAAGCACACCGACUAAUUCAUUAAGCAACUUGCUUUAUUUUACUCUGCAAAUAAUGAAUAGUCAGAAAUCACCAAAUGACAAUGUAUAAUCUACUGAAAAUUAUACUCUUCCAAUCACACCAAUGAACAAGAAAAUCGAGUUCAAAGGACCAUGAUUCUCGUUUCAAGCGAUUCCCCAUCAUCAACUACUAACCCAUCACCUUUCAGCAGAUAUUGCCGCCCAUCUUGCUGCAACUUUUUCUUCUUUUUCUUUUCUUCACAAGUGCUUGUUCUGUAAUAUUUAGAGAUUAUCCCCAUACAUAUGUAGUAUCCACGAUCAUAUACUUGUUCAUAUAAAAAAAUCAUAAACUCGGGAAGACCAAAAUUUCACUGGGUAUCAUGAUCUUUUUUGUCAUGAAAGUGAAGUAUAACUGAUAAAGAGCUUAUGGGAAAGAAAAUUUAAUAAAAUCGAAGAAGACUAAGACUUACGGUGAUGCAAAUUGGAUUUGUUGCUUCACUUUUCAAAUUCCUCGUCGUCCGUUCCCAUGUGAAUGUCUUUUUUACAUUACUAGUAGUUUUCCACGAGUUACACGGAUGCCAAUUUUUAUUUUUAUUUGUUUAUGUGUGUGAUUGACAAUUGGCAGUGAUUAUUGUUCUCUUGCUCAAAUUGACAAAACUAUAAUUUUAGUCCAACUUUUGUCAUUUUUAAUCAUAUUGUGAUUAAUCAUUCAUUAAUCUCUGUUGUACUUGUCUAUUGGAAUUAUGUCUAGAUUUCCAUUUAUCUUUUCAAAUAUAAGUCUAAUAAAUGGAAAAAAAAAGCAAGAAGAAAAACUAAAUAAGAAAAACAGCCAAAAACUGAUGAAGAAAAAAAAAUGCAGGAAUGGGGCGAUAAUACUCUUCGUGACUCGCGGAGAGUUCCAUUUCACAUUUUUGUUUUGUUUUGUUUUUUAUGAAGAUGCAAUCUAAAUUUAUUAAUAUGCAAGAUAUGAUUUUCCCAAAUUUCCCAAGUUAUUAUAGCAUGUGAUUUAUCAAAGGAAAUGUGCAAAAAAGAGAAUUAACAAUAAUGCACUCCAAAAAGCCUAGAUGCGCAUGAUAAUGCUUUUCCAUGAAAAUUCUAAGUUUUCUGAUAUAAUUGUCCUGAUAUGGAUAUAAUGCAAUUCUAUGCUAAUAUGUAAUGAAAAAUCAAAAAAUAAAGGUCUGAGUUUUGGCUCAAACAAUUAUGUGUGCAGAUGUAUCACCUGAUUAAAACAAAAUUAACAAAUCACCAUGAAUUAUGCAAUCAAGCUGCAACUUUAACCUGGCCAGCAAGUAUAUGGCAUCAACUUUCCCCAAUUUUGCUAUUAAACUUGCUGCAUCAGUUCAAGGGAAAAAGAGAGCAAGUAGAAAGAUGUCUUUUACCUAUUCCAAGUAGACUUCCUGGAGCUGACCAGGCGAAUGGGAUAAGAUCCACAACAGCAAUCCAGCAAGCACGAGCGCUAGGUUUGGCAGUUCACUGUACGCGUGCGUAUUCAGCUACGGCAAUGCGUGGUCGCCGCUUGCAACGACGAACGAUGGUAUUGACUGAGCGACGACUAGAGAUGGUGGUGAUUGGCGACAAUCGAUGUGCAUGCAAGAAAUGAAUUGAACGAGAGUGGAGUCUGUGGGCGUGAGUUUGAUGAUGAUGGUGGUGGUGGUGGUGGAUGAAGAAAAAGUGAGGCGGUGUGGUUUCAAAGAAAGGAGCAGGAGAACCAAGAUGAAUU